AAGUAGUAAUAAUAAUUUAAACUUACUUAUUUUGGUAGUAUUUCAUCUAUUUAGAGGAACUUGUUCCCUAAUCGAUAAUCCACGAUAAAUUUCACUUCAAUUUAAAACUUAUAUAUCGCCAUCUAAAGAACUAAUUUCAAAAUAUUAUUCAAAAUAAAAAAUAAAAAGUUAGGUCAAGGUGUAGUCCAUAUUUCAGAAAAAAUGAGUUACUAUAAAUAUAAUUUAAGAAAAGGAAAUUAAAAUUAACUGGAAAAAGGAUUUAAUUACAAGGUAAUAACAAUAUUUUUACUUGAAACAGAUAAUAAAUAUGC
rnacentral:rRNA from 1 species